UACGUAGGGGGCAAGCGUUGUCCGGAUUUACUGGGCGUAAAGAGCGCGCAGGCGGUCGGAUAAGUCGAAUGUGAAAGCCCCCGGCUCAACUGGGGAGGGUCAUUCGAUACUGUUCGACUCGAAGGCAGGAGAGGGAAGUGGAAUUCCCGGUGUAGUGGUGAAAUGCGUAGAUAUCGGGAGGAACACCAGUGGCGAAGGCGACUUCCUGACCUGUUCGUGACGCUGAGGCGCGAAAGCUAGGGGAGCAAACGGG
rnacentral:rRNA from 1 species